UACGGAGGGUGCGAGCGUUGUCCGGAAUCAUUGGGCGUAAAGCGCGUGUAGGCGGCCACGAUAGUCGGGUGUGAAAGCCCCGGGCUCAACCCGGGAAGUGCAUUCGAUACUACGUGGCUUGAGUCCCGGAGAGGAUGGUGGAAUUCUCGGUGUAGAGGUGAAAUUCGUAGAUAUCUGGAGGAAUACCGGUGGCGAAGGCGGCAUCCUGGACCGGCAUUGACGCUGAGGAGCGAAAGCUAGGGGAGCAAACGGG
rnacentral:rRNA from 1 species